GACGAACGCUGGCGGCGUGCCUAAUACAUGCAAGUUGAGCGAUGAAGAUUGGUGCUUGCACCAAUUUGAAGAGCAGCGAACGGGCGAGUAACGCGUGGGGAAUCUGCCUUUGAGCGGGGGACAACAUUUGGAAACGAAUGCUAAUACCGCAUAACAACUUUAAACAUAAGUUUUAAGUUUGAAAGAUGCAAUUGCAUCACUCAAAGAUGAUCCCGCGUUGUAUUAGCUAGUUGGUGAGGUAAAGGCUCACCAAGGCGAUGAUACAUAGCCGACCUGAGAGGGUGAUCGGCCACAUUGGGACUGAGACACGGCCCAAACUCCUACGGGAGGCAGCAGUAGGGAAUCUUCGGCAAUGGACGCAAGUCUGACCGAGCAACGCCGCGUGAGUGAAGAAGGUUUUCGGAUCGUAAAACUCUGUUGGUAGAGAAGAACGUUGGUGAGAGUGGAAAGCUCAUCAAGUGACGGUAACUACCCAGAAAGGGACGGCUAACUACGUG
rnacentral:rRNA from 1 species